rnacentral:rRNA from 1 species
GGUUAAGCGACUAAGCGUACACGGUGGAUGCCAUGGCAGUCAGAGGCGAUGAAGGACGUGCUAAUCUGCGAUAAGCGUCGGUAAGGUGAUAUGAACCGUUAUAACCGGCGAUUUCCGAAUGGGGAAACCCAGUGUGAUUCGUCACACUAUCAUUAACUGAAUCCAUAGGUUAAUGAGGCGAACCGGGGGAACUGAAACAUCUAAGUACCCCGAGGAAAAGAAAUCAACCGAGAUUCCCCCAGUAGCGGCGAGCGAACGGGGAGCAGCCCAGAGCCUGAAUCAGUGUGUGUGUUAGUGGAAGCGUCUGGAAAGGCGCGCGAUACAGGGUGACAGCCCCGUACACAAAAAUGCACAUGCUGUGAGCUCGAUGAGUAGGGCGGGACACGUGGUAUCCUGUCUGAAUAUGGGGGGACCAUCCUCCAAGGCUAAAUACUCCUGACUGACCGAUAGUGAACCAGUACCGUGAGGGAAAGGCGAAAAGAACCCCGGCGAGGGGAGUGAAAAAGAACCUGAAACCGUGUACGUACAAGCAGUGGGAGCACGCUUAGGCGUGUGACUGCGUACCUUUUGUAUAAUGGGUCAGCGACUUAUAUUCUGUAGCAAGGUUAACCGAAUAGGGGAGCCGAAGGGAAACCGAGUCUUAACUGGGCGUUAAGUUGCAGGGUAUAGACCCGAAACCCGGUGAUCUAGCCAUGGGCAGGUUGAAGGUUGGGUAACACUAACUGGAGGACCGAACCGACUAAUGUUGAAAAAUUAGCGGAUGACUUGUGGCUGGGGGUGAAAGGCCAAUCAAACCGGGAGAUAGCUGGUUCUCCCCGAAAGCUAUUUAGGUAGCGCCUCGUGAAUUCAUCUCCGGGGGUAGAGCACUGUUUCGGCAAGGGGGUCAUCCCGACUUACCAACCCGAUGCAAACUGCGAAUACCGGAGAAUGUUAUCACGGGAGACACACGGCGGGUGCUAACGUCCGUCGUGAAGAGGGAAACAACCCAGACCGCCAGCUAAGGUCCCAAAGUCAUGGUUAAGUGGGAAACGAUGUGGGAAGGCCCAGACAGCCAGGAUGUUGGCUUAGAAGCAGCCAUCAUUUAAAGAAAGCGUAAUAGCUCACUGGUCGAGUCGGCCUGCGCGGAAGAUGUAACGGGGCUAAACCAUGCACCGAAGCUGCGGCAGCGACGCUGAUGCGUUGUUGGGUAGGGGAGCGUUCUGUAAGCCUGUGAAGGUGUGCUGUGAGGCAUGCUGGAGGUAUCAGAAGUGCGAAUGCUGACAUAAGUAACGAUAAAGCGGGUGAAAAGCCCGCUCGCCGGAAGACCAAGGGUUCCUGUCCAACGUUAAUCGGGGCAGGGUGAGUCGACCCCUAAGGCGAGGCCGAAAGGCGUAGUCGAUGGGAAACAGGUUAAUAUUCCUGUACUUGGUGUUACUGCGAAGGGGGGACGGAGAAGGCUAUGUUGGCCGGGCGACGGUUGUCCCGGUUUAAGCGUGUAGGCUGGUUUUCCAGGCAAAUCCGGAAAAUCAAGGCUGAGGCGUGAUGACGAGGCACUACGGUGCUGAAGCAACAAAUGCCCUGCUUCCAGGAAAAGCCUCUAAGCAUCAGGUAACAUCAAAUCGUACCCCAAACCGACACAGGUGGUCAGGUAGAGAAUACCAAGGCGCUUGAGAGAACUCGGGUGAAGGAACUAGGCAAAAUGGUGCCGUAACUUCGGGAGAAGG